UACGUAGGGUGCAAGCGUUGUCCGGAAUUAUUGGGCGUAAAGAGCUCGUAGGCGGUUUGUCGCGUCUGCUGUGAAAACUCGGGGCUUAACUCCGGGCCUGCAGUGGGUACGGGCAGACUAGAGUGCGGUAGGGGAGACUGGAAUUCCUGGUGUAGCGGUGAAAUGCGCAGAUAUCAGGAGGAACACCGGUGGCGAAGGCGGGUCUCCGGGCCGUAACUGACGCUGAGGAGCGAAAGCGUGGGGAGCGAACAGG
rnacentral:rRNA from 1 species